rnacentral:tRNA from 1 species
CCGCCCUUAGCUCAGUCGGUAGAGCAGCUCCCUUUUAAGGAGAAGGUCCUUGGUUCGAGCCCAAGAGGGCGGACAA